AACAUGAGCCCAUUGGGCCGGAAAGGCCCAAAUCAUCAGCGCCGCCGCAAAAGUGAUAUCUUCAGCUUAGCGCCGUCGCGUCUCCCUGCUCUCUCUUGUGGAGGUCCAGAAGCAACCUUCCUUCAAUUUCUUUCCAUGAAGCAAUGAACAGAGAGAAUUGAAUCAAAGUAAGCUUCUUCUAUUCCAUGGCAUCGAAGCUCAUUGUGGAGGCUCCUUUUGAAGCUGAAAACCAACUUGAAUUAUCUCUGAGACAAGCUUUUGAGUCCCUUCAACCAAAUCUAAGACCCCCUUUUUCCUUCUCUAUAUCCAUUCCAAACCCUGACCAAUACUCCCAACUUAACCGUGCAAUCCUCCAUGGCAUCCUAACCGAACCACACUUUGCAAAAACCCACAUCAAGCACUUACAUGGCAUAAUAACAGAUGGGUAUGCAAUGUUCAUCAAUUUACUCAUCAAAGUAGUUCACCAGUUGUACCCAAAGCUCCUUGGUUCUGUGAAAAGCCAGCUACUUUGGGUUGCUGAGGAAAUGAUUUAUGUGUUGGGGAUUGGUUUCGAUGCGCUUUUGGUGUCCCUUUUGAGGCAAAUCAAUGGAGGUGAUUUCAGUGAUGGAAAUUUGUGGUUGUGUUUGAAGAUGGCCACACUUUUCUUGAACAAGUGGCAGUGCUUGUUGGAAGAAGAACCGAAUGUUUUGUCAUGUGCUUUAUAUGUGUUUCUUAGAGUUUUGGCUGAUCAUUGUAGAACCAACAGGCCGAGUGAUCAAAAUUUUGAGACUUUGAGGAGGUUGGAGGUUUAUUUGUGUGUGAAGAUUGUGAGGGAAGAGUUUCACUUGUGUUUAAGAAUCGGCAGGGAUUUCAUUCGGUUGUUGCAGGAUUUGAUUCAUGUUCUUGAGUUUAGAGAUAUUUGGAAGGAUUUGAUGCUUUGUCCAUCAAAGUUCAAUACUUCAAGAUUUGUAAAUGUUUUGCAGCUAUACCGCACAAGAACUUGUAGCAAGUAUGUUUUGCUUAGAAUCAAUCCUGAGAUGGAGACCAGAUUGCGGUUUUUGAUGACAUAUGUUAAAUUGGGACAUCAAAAGAGGCACCAAAUAUGGUUUUUUCAGAAGUUUCUUCAUGAACCAGAUAGAGAAACUAUCAUAGUUGAUAUAGUUAGAUUCAUAUGUUGUGCACACCAUCCACCUAAUGAGAUCAUUCAAUCAGACAUUGUUCCUCGAUGGGCUGUUAUAGGCUGGCUUUUGAAGUCAUGUAGGAGCAGUUAUGUUGAGAGAAGUGUUAAAUUUGCUCUGUUUUAUGAUUGGCUCUUUUUUGAUGAAAGUGUUGACAGUGUGAUGAACAUAGAGCCUGCAAUUUUGUUGAUGGUGCAUUCUAUUCAGAAGUACAUUGACAUCACACACAAUCUUCUUGAGUUCUUGUUAUAUCUUGUGGACAACUAUGAUGUUCAGGUGGAGAAUAAGAUUCUCAUAGCUAAGGGUGUAUCAUCAGCUCUUCAGUUACUUGCCAAGAAGGGUGUGAUUCAGUCAUAUGAUGUUUUGACUUAUUGUCCUGCACUUUCACCCACUCUAAAAGAGGGUCUGGGAAGGUUGAUAUCAGGUGUAAAAAGCUAGGAUGCUGUAAUGGAUUUCUGCCAAAUCUGUCUUUUAUUUGAACUCAUUAUCUGAAGAAUGUUGAUCUGAAUUCAUUUUGCAACAAGAGAGCUUCUUGGCUAAAAUGCCAUUAUAAGAUCAAUCCGAAUCGUAGAUACAUAACUCGGAGAAAGGGGAAAAAAUAUCAGACUAUGAAUU